UAACUGUGGCUGCAUGCAUAAAGAUCUUUCAAGUAACAUUUAAUUUAAAGUAAGUAUAUUUAAUGUAGUUCCAUUAAGAUCAGUGAGACAUAAACAAACCUAGAAGAUAAUGUUUAGGAUUUGUCCCUAGAGGUUACUUUCUAACACCUUAGCAAAAUAGGUCUUCAUAAACUUUAUGCAGCAGAAAUAGUAGUUAAAAUUAGCUUUAACCUUUCACAGGAAGCAGCGGAGUUCCAACAGCUCCAGGAGGACCCGGGGGCCCUUUUUCUCCAGGAUCCCCCUUCUGAGUCAUUUGUGUCAACAAUCCAACUGGAAACAACACUGACCUUUCACAACCAGGCAGCAUUCAACAGGUAGGUAUAAAACAGACUUGGAAAGGUUUUCCAAAGGGUUUUGAAAUAUUUUUGCUUUCAUAUUUAUAUAGGUGCUAAUUAAGUUCCAAUGCACAAGUGCUGUUAUUUCUUCCAUCAUCUUGUGCUUUGAAAGAUUAACUUAAUAACAACAGAAGCACCACGGAAAAAAAAAUUGCUUUACUUACUUUGGGUCCAUGUGGUCCUCUGUAUCCUGUUAUCCCAGGUAGUCCUUUUUGGCCCUACAUAUACAGGAAAAGUAUUUACUAUGCAGGACAUACUUAUGUGUUGCUUAACACUUUAAAGUCCUAGUCUGAAUUACUGGGGCUUUUCCCUUAAGUGUACAAGGCACAAGAAAAUAAGAAAAAUAAUUAAGUACUGAUUUUUACUUCUCUUAAAGCCUUCAAACCAGCACAAUGACUGUGGAUUGAGUUAGACAUAUCUUUUCAUUUGUAGAGACUUACUAAUUGGGGCUUUGUGCCUACAAACAUGCAUGAAAGUAGUUCUUUUUUGUCUAUGGGUCUAAUAGUUUGAAACUAGUAUUCACAUGUAUAAAUCCAUGCCUUUGGACACAGCCCCAGUCUGAAUGGAAUGCAUGGUGGAUUACAUGAACAUGCCAUUAGUCACAUCCAGCAGUAAUGUGGAGUUUAUGUAGGUUCUUGUUGUUCUUUCCCUCUUCCUCAUAUGGCUGUACAUAGCGGCCAUUUCCAUAAUGAAAGCGUAAGAUCCAGUACUUGAAAUCUAUCAGCUCCCUGGGUUGAGGCUGCAGGGCUGGCAAUGCCAAAAUUCACAUUUUCAUUUCUGUAUUUUUGCAAAUCAAACUUGAGAAACACAGACUA
rnacentral:lncRNA from 1 species